rnacentral:rRNA from 1 species
CCUACGGGUGGCAGCAGUGGGGAAUAUUGCACAAUGGGGGAAACCCUGAUGCAGCGACGCCGCGUGAGUGAAGAAGUACUUCGUUAUGUAAAGCUCUAUCAGCAGGGAAGAAAAUGACGGUACCUGAGUAAGAAUCCCCGGCUAACUCCGUCCCAGCAGCCGCGGUAAUACGUAGGGGGCAAGCGUUAUCCGGAUUUACUGGGUGGAAAGGGAGCGUAGACGGCAGUGCAAGUCUGGAGUGAAAGGCGGGGGCUCAACCCCCGGACUGCUCUGGAAACUGUACGGCUGGAGUGCAGGAGAGGUAAGUGGAAUUCCUAGUGUAGCGGUGAAAUGCGUAGAUAUUAGGAGGAACACCAGUGGCGAAGGCGGCUUACUGGACUGUAACUGACGUUGAGGAUCGAAAGCGUGGGGAGCAAACAGGAUUAGAUACCCCAGUAGUC